UGGAGUUCAGCAGGAUUGUGGGCAAGAACCUCAAGCAGGAAUUCUAUGAGAGCAUCGAUCGGCACAGUCCUCGUCUCCUCGAGUUAUUUGAUCCAAGAGAGACUACAGAACCAACUGUGAUCCGGACACAGGUGCUCAGAGGGCUUCCUAUCAUCCUACGGGACAACCCCACAAACUUCUUCAAAUAAAAGCAGGCUUUGAAUCGGAUGAUGAUGAUUUUUUUCGUGACCUUGACAUUGGGAUACUUCUCAUUGAGCGUGAAGGUGCUGGGCUCACAUCUUCCCAGCAUCUCAGUCCAGCCUCGUUGAAAAUCAUCAUUGAGGGAAAAGUCGUGAUGGACAACAUUCAAGAUCGGCCGAAAGCAAUGUGCAUUCUGUUUGGACUCACGUAUGCACUCCAUCUUAACAACUCCAAGACUAUGAAGCUCACAUUUCAGGUCAU